rnacentral:rRNA from 1 species
AUACGGAGGGUGCAAGCGUUACUCGGAAUCACUGGGCGUAAAGCGCGCGCAGGCGGCUAUUUAAGUUGGAUGUGAAAGCCUACGGCUCAACCGUAGAACUGCAUCCAAAACUAUUUAGCUAGAGUGUGGGAGAGGAAGAUGGAAUUAGUUGUGUAGGGGUAAAAUCCGUAGAGAUAACUAGGAAUGCCAAAAGCGUAGGCAAUCUUCUGGAACACUACUGACGCUGAGGCGCGAAAGCGUGGGGAGCAAACGGGAUUAGAAACCCUAGUAGUCC